rnacentral:tRNA from 1 species
GCCGGGAUAGCUCAGCUGGGAGAGCGACAGACUGAAGUUCUGGCGGUCGCGUGUUCAAUCCACGCUCCUGGCA